GGGGAUGACAUGGUUUCGACGGGGAAGAAUCUAGUUAAUUGCAAGUCGAGCAUGAUCCAAACUCGUUAAAGGGAUCAAAAAAUUACAAGCAGACGAAAAUACGUUUGCCCCAGCUUACGCUUUAGCGUAAAUGGGUGUCUUCUGGGAAGCGAUUCUUGGCCGCACCCAGCGGGCAUAAACCCGUCCAAGAUGCGGCAGUUUUCUUAGCUUGAAAGAUGACUGCUUAAGUUAAGUCAAGCAAACCAAAGCUCGUCUGAUGAGCUAAACUUGUAGAAGAUUAGUUGGAUAAUUUUUCCGGACGCGGGUUCGAUCCCCGCCAUCUCCACCU
rnacentral:tmRNA from 1 species